UGCGCGCCUGCUUAGGCCACGCCUUUGAAGUCACUCAAUUGCUCUGUGCGGCCAAACUCAGUCCGGUCGUAGAUAGAUAGGUAGAAUAAACGAAUAAACUUUAUUGUCUAACGGAUAAGGUGAUCUAUCCACCCCCCGACACGCAGGUCAGGGGGCGGGUGCCGCCGCCUCAGCUGCAUGCAGCCUCUUCAGCCAGUUGGACGAGCCAGAACCGGAGCUCAGAGUCUGAGCUGCGGAACAGGGUCUCCCACGUGCCUCUACUACUAAUAUGCACACACAUCAAGCAAGUUUUCAGUGUCCCUGCAGAUGCCUUUGCAAGAAAAUGAGGAGCCACUGAAUAUGUGCCACUUCGACACAAGGAGCAUACAAGCCUUAAAUGCAUUUUUACAUAUGCUUCAAACUUCUUUCUCCUUACACCUGUCCUCCCGGAAUGAACAUCAAACAUUGCCUUCACCCUCACAUCCACGUCUCACAUUGUGGAUCUGCAUGAACUGCUGCUUGCAUUUCUAUGUAUCGUGUGAACGCUGGGGUGCAUAAACAUUGCAUGCUGCACAUUAAAACGAACACAGUCAUAUGCAUUGAAUUAAGUAAUAUAGCGCUAAAGUGCCUUCGUUACAUAUUUUUCACUUCAUAUAUAUUCCGAUAGGUGCAUCGAGUCUGCAUAGUUUACACGUCUCUCUUCACACAAAAUUUAACUGACACAUUUUAAGAAACCUUUACUUAGUUCAUCCAGCAAAUUCAAAGGCAGGAACAUAAAAGAGGCACAGGACUAGCUUUUUUAUACUGUCUUUCUUGUUACUACAGUCAAUUAACCGAAAUGAAGGAAAAUGAAAUCACUGCAAUGAUUCUAUUUUAUUACAACAUUAUUAAAGCUGUAGCGACAGAAAAUUGUCUAUUUGUAUAAUGAGUUGUUAUUCAGGUGGCCCCCUUCCACCGCCAAGUUAGAUUUUUUUUAGCAAUUAAAGAAAGGUCCCUCAGCAUCUGCACUUUUUAUUUGCUACUGAGAAUCUUGUGAGGAGUAUACACUUGCUACCAAAUUGGGCCCCAAGGGUGUUGGUCUUUCCUUAGAGCAAAUGUAAAAGCAAAGAAAAAUAGCAGCUUUUUGCUAGCCAGAAGCAGGCACUUUAAGCACCUGGAGUUUCUUACUAAAUUCAACAUCUCUGUUGGGACUGGCUAUAAAGAGCUUGUAGAAAUGUAUACCCAUGUGAAAGAUCUGUACUUCUAAGCCAUUGAGGGCAAGUAGUCACUACUGAAGAAAAUGUUGUUCCAUACAACAAUUUCCAAUUUAUAAGUUCUACCAAUGCUGCAUCAAGGUGUUUGCUAUUCUGCCUUGCACCUCAGUUUUACUGUACAUAUACAUUUUACCAUGUCACCCGUAGGAAGGGUUUAAUGCUGUUCAUGAGUGCUCUCACAAGCAUUCACCAUCACA